rnacentral:lncRNA from 1 species
UCUUUCUUAAUUUGACAUGAACGAAUGAAUGUUAGGAAUGUAUGAGUUAAAUUUAGUAAUAUUGUAUGACUAAAUGAAUAUUAGAUUUAGUAUAUUUUUUUAUCGGAUUAAAAGGUUAAUAAUGUAAUAAAGUAGUUUUUAUUUCUUGAAAUUAAUUAUAUAUUUUUUUAGAUUUAGUUUUUUUAUUUUUAAUUUUAGUCUAUUUUAUUUUUUCAGAUUUAGUUUAUGUUUAUUUUCAAAAUUAUUAUAUAAUUU